rnacentral:rRNA from 1 species
UAAUACGAAGGUGGCAAGCGUUGUUCGGAUUUACUGGGCGUACAGGGAGCGUAGGCGGUUGGGUAAGCCCUCCGUGAAAUCUCCGGGCCUAACCCGGAAAGUGCGGAGGGGACUGCUCGGCUAGAGGAUGGGAGAGGAGCGCGGAAUUCCCGGUGUAGCGGUGAAAUGCGUAGAGAUCGGGAGGAAGGCCGGUGGCGAAGGCGGCGCUCUGGAACAUUUCUGACGCUGAGGCUCGAAAGCGUGGGGAGCAAACAGGAUUAGAUACCCUGGUAGUCCACGCCUUAAACUAUGAAUACUAAGUGUCGGCGGGUUACCGCCGGUGCCGCAGCUAACGCAGUAAGUAUUCCGCCUGGGAAGUACGGCCGCAAGGUUGAAACUCAAAUGAAUUGACGG